GACAGAGGUCCCGAGCGUUAGGCGGAAUCACUGGGCUUAAAGCGUGUGUAGGCGGGUCGUUAAGUGCCUUGUGAAAUCCCAUGGCUCAACCAUGGAACUGCUGGGCAUACUGGCGAUCUUGUGCCACCUAGGGGCGAGCGGAACAGAUGGUGGAGCGGUGAAAUGCGUAGAUAUCAUCAUGGAACGCCAAUGGUGAAAACAGCUCGCUGGGGGUGUGCAGACGCUGAGACACGAAAGCCAGGGGAGCGAACGGG
rnacentral:rRNA from 1 species